CAGAACAAUUGCUGAAAGGGGCUGAAGAGUUUGUGAAACUUGAUCUAUCAUAUUGUGGGCUCACAUCAAACUUUGUUUCAAAUAUCAAUGUUACUUUGUUUUGUUCCAUCCUUGAGCUGAACCUGGAAGGAAAUCCUAUUCUGCCUGAGGGCAGAAAUACUCUAUGUUCUCUUCUAGUAAACCCAUCAUGCUCUCUCAAAG